UAAUAAUUUGGUUGCCAGCAAAACUCACGCCUUCUCCUUUUCCAUAGGAAUAUGGAGAAUACAGGUGUGCCCCAGUGGAAGCAGCUGCUGGCUUCCUUUGGGCCAAUUGCGUAACCUUGGCAUUUGGGAAUAGAGAUAAGCGAAGCAGCAGCAUGAAUGUAUGCUCCAUCAGGUCAUAAUUAUGGUUCCUCCUCAAUGGCUACUAGGUGCAGUAGGGAUUCAUAUGAUGACAGUGUUAACAACUGCACACAAGUUACUGCUUCGAAGGAUGUUUCUUCUAGGGAAGCUUCAAAUGUCUUCACAUGGUUAGGAGCAUG